CUUAUGCAAGCACAGAAGUGUUUGCACAAAAGUUUGUUGUGUCUCCAGUCUACGCAGGUGCAGUUUGGAAGCGUUUGUUCAUCACCAAAAAGUACGAUAUGGUGCUCCUUCCCUGUUGAACUUUUUACUUCAAAGACCCCUGGGGACACCAUGUGGACCAUGUCUUUGCUAAUGUCACUAUCCCAACGCUUCAUAAUAUGAGACACCAUUCUGGCAGGUCUGUUGUGCAGAAAUUUUGGAAGUUCCUCAUUAUAAGCACGGUAACCUUCGUGACAUUUAACAUUUAGCUCAGCAUAUCUAAAAUUGUAAAAGGAAAACGUCACUCACGAAUAUUAUUACAUCUUAUUAGAAUCCAAAGAUGACUAAAGUCUACAGUAAGUGCCGCUGUAGUUAGCCUAAUCACACCUUUCAAUAAUUUGUUAAUUAAGCAGUUGUUUUUUUCAAAAGAAGGGGCCUGUGUCACACAACAAAAACCCUACGAAAUGAAUUUUUCCUUCAAAACUGGUAUUUGGGAGAAACCGAUCAACAAGUGCUGUCAGCAUAUCACUUAAGGAGCACCCUUUAUUCCCAUGGAGGUACUCAUAUUUGAAUGCCUUAUUCUGUCUUUCAAUGCCAUUGUUCGUGUUCACUGCACAAAUGAAAUCUCCUGUCCGAUACGCUUGACACCAUCUCUGUAAGAAAACGAUCAAUACAGUAUAUUUUGCAUGUUCUGCUAGUACAUAGUAUUUUAUUUGAGAUUAUGAAAUAAUACAACGAUAUAAGCCCUGGA